GUAGACAUAGUUUAAAGAAAACAUCAGAUUGUGAUUCUGGAAACAGAGGUUAAACCCCCCUUGUCCACC
rnacentral:tRNA from 1 species